rnacentral:misc_RNA from 1 species
UUAGGCCUGAUAUCAAGAGAGGAAAAUUCACUUUACAAGAAGAACAAACCAUCAUUCAACUUCAUGCUCUCUUAGGGAAUAGGUGGUCGGCCAUAGCCACUCAUUUACCCAAACGAACAGAUAAUGAGAUUAAAAAUUAUUGGAAUACUCAUCUCAAGAAACGGCUAGUGAAAAUGGGGAUCGACCCAGUGACCCACAAGCCGAAGAACGAUGCCUUGUUGUCCAAUGACGGUCAGU